rnacentral:lncRNA from 1 species
GAGAUACUGAAGAAUCAACUAGACAGCCAUGUGGGUGCGCCAUCUUCUAAACAGAUCCUCCAGCCCCAGAUGAGCCUGCAUGUGACUGCAGUCUUGGCUGACAUCUUGACAACAACCUCAUGAGAGACCCUGAGCCAGAACCACUCACCUCAGUCUCCCUUGAGCUCAUGGCCUACCGGGUAUUGUUGCCUUCAGCUGCUAAAUUUUGAGAGUCUACAUCUCUGAGGACAGGAGCAGAGUAUGGUUCAUUUCUGAGUCAUCCAGAAGGCCUGGACCUUGCCUGCUACAAAAAAAUCAAGGGCUAUACCUACUGGCUUACUUCUGAUUGCUUUGCCACUUACUAGUCGUGUCAUCUUCUUCAAUAUGUCUUUGUUCAAUGACUGAACGACUGAAUGAACACAUGACGAGAAAGAGACUUUUGAACCUGUGGAGUCCAGAGGCUGUGAAAUGAAGAAACCUGGAAGAAGGUAAUAGAAUGUUUAUAGACUGACAGAGAGAAUGGAGGAAGGUUUCUCAGCAUAAAUAUCUCGCGUCAAAAGAACACUCCAGAAAUACUUCCAAGGUGCCCUAUCCGUAUAGAGUGGAACUUUAAAACCGGAGAAAAAGUCCAACGAAAUAAGUCAAGUGGAAUAUGUUGUCUUCUACCAUAUUUAGGCAGAGAUCUUGACUAAUUAAUCUUCAAAGAAGUGAAAAUAAUCUACUCUUGAACUUAAUUAUGCAAAUAAAACAAUUCUAAUUUCGGAAA